rnacentral:misc_RNA from 1 species
CUGUUGAUCCUAUGGAGAUGCUUGAUAAAUCAAAAUAUGUUUAUUUAUUACUAGCCGUGAACGCGACUUCGUCUGCGUGGAAUUUAACAAAAAAGUUAUUGUUCAGUUCGCGUAGUUAUAAAAAAAAUAAAUUUCUAAAAUAAAAGUAGCUUAAGUUACUCCUUAUUACAUCAGUUAUCUGCCAGUGAAAGUCCCGUCAAAAUCGGUCCAGCCAUGGAGCAUAGAGAAAUGAAGAAAUGAGAAUUCUAUGCUCCAUGGG